CCUACGGGUGGCUGCAGUGAGGAAUAUUGGUCAAUGGACGCAAGUCUGAACCAGCCAUGCCGCGUGAAGGAAGACGGCUCUAUGGGUUGUAAACUGCUUUUAUACGGGAGUAAACGCAGAUACGUGUGUCUUUCUGAAAGUAUCGUACGAAUAAGGAUCGGCUAACUCCGUGCCAGCAGCCGCGGUAAUACGGAGGAUUCAAGCGUUAUCCGGAUUUAUUGGGUUUAAAGGGUGCGUAGGCGGUCGUAUAAGUGAGCGGUGAAAUCCUGAGGCUCAACUUCGGAAUUGCCUCUGAUACUGGUCGGCUAGAGAGUAGUUGCGGUAGGCGGAAUGCAUGGUGUAGCGGUGAAAUGCUUAGAGAUCAUACAGAACACCGAUUGCGAAGGCAGCUUACCAAGCUACUUCUGACGCUGAGGCACGAAAGCGUGGGGAGCAAACAGGAUUAGAUACCCCUGUAGUC
rnacentral:rRNA from 1 species